AUGCAAGAGAUUAUCUGUGGAUGCUCGGGAAACCCUAAGCAACAGAAUAGCCGGUCUUGCCGUUGCGAGUGUCCUGCGAUGGUCAGAUUACUAAGAGCUAUAGACAAUGGAUGGUACACUGUAGAGCACCGGUCAAGUCACAAUCAUUCCAUGUCUCUUAAGUGCGGAGAAAAGGUUCAUUGGCCAUCCCACAAACACAUAGACGUUUACACAAAAGACUUGUUGAAACAACUUAGGGCAGACAAUGUGAACCUCAACAAGGUGUAUAUCAUAGUUGGCAGCUUCUUCGGUUCAUCACAGGGCGUACCUUUCACAAAAAGGUCAUUGCGCAAUCUGUGUGGGCAAAUAAGCCGAGACCAAGCUGAUGAUGAUGUCAACAAAACUCUAGCCAUGUUCAAAGAGAUUCAGCAGAACGACACGGAAUUCACCUACAGAGUCCAGGGCGAUGAGGAGAGCAGAAUCAAAGACCUUAUGUGGACAAACGGAAACAGCAAGUUGCAGUACAAGUUCUUCGGCGAUGUUAUCACAUUCGACACGACGUAUCGGACGAACUUGUAUGACAUGCCCUUUGGUUUGUUCGUUGGAGUGAACAAUCAUUUUCAAAGCAUAAUACUAGCUUGUAUUCUGCUGCGUGAUGAACAAGUGGAGAGCUUCCAAUGGUUAUUUUCUGAAUUCAUCAACAUGAUGGGCGGCAAACAUCCGCAGACAAUAUUGACAGAUCAAGCAAGAGCCAUGGAGAUAGCAAUCAAAAGUGACCUUCCUGAUACUGUUCACAGGUGGUGCAAGUGGCAUAUUCUUAAGAAGGCAAAAGAAAACCUUGGCCCACUGUACACAAGCAAAAGCGAGUUCAGGGCUGAAUUUCACAAAGUCGUGAAUCACAUGAUAAGUGAAGAGGAAUUUGAGACUGCAUGGGGUGCACUUGUUGAGAAAUACAAUUUGAAAUCCCACAAUUACAUGAGAAACCUCCACGAGAUACGUCCUAAGUGGGCGAAGCCAUACUUCAAGGGCGUCUUCUGUGCGAAAAUGACCAGCACCCAGCGUAGCGAGAGCGCCAACAACAUGCUGAAGAUUUACAUGCUGCCAGCUAGCCCAAUGCAUGUAUUUGUGCGCCAAUACAUGAGGCUUCAAUUCAACCGUGAAUCAGAUGAGAGCUACCAAGAGAAAAGAACAAGGAUUCUGAGUUAG
rnacentral:rRNA from 1 species